rnacentral:rRNA from 1 species
GAUGAACGCUAGCUAUAGGCUUAACACAUGCAAGUCGAGGGGUAGCAGAGAGUAGCAAUACUUUGCUGACGACCGGCGCACGGGUGAGUAACACGUAUCCAACCUACCUUAUACUCGGGUAUAGGCUUUCGAAAGAAAGAUUAAUCCCCGACGGUAUAUGCUGUUCGCAUGUCCAGUAUAUUAAAGAUUUAUUUCGGUGUUUGAUGGGGAUGCGUUUCAUUAGAUUGUUGGUGAGGUAACGGCUCACCAAGUCAUCGAUGAAUAGGGGUUCUGAGAGGAAGGUCCCCACACUGGAACUGAGACACGGUCCAGACUCCUACGGGAGGCAGCAGUGAGGAAUAUUGGUCAAUGGGCGUAAGCCUGAACCAGCCACUUAGCGUGAAGGAUGAAGGUUCUAUGGAUUGUAAACUUCUUUUAUAUAGGAAUAAAGUAUACCACGUGUGGUAUUUUGUAUGUACUAUAUGAAUAAGGAUCGGCUAACUCCGUGCCAGCAGCCGCAGUAACAC